UGCCACAGCUAAAUCACCCUGCAGUUUAAGACCGGUUACUCACUAAAGCUAUAAGCUGGGCUGAGCCUGGUCAGUACCUGGAUGGGAGACCACAUGGGAAAACUAGGUUGCUGUUGAAA
ensembl:rRNA 5S_rRNA 5S ribosomal RNA